UACGGAGGUUGCAAGCGUUGUUCGGAAUUACUGGGCGUAAAGGGAGCGCAGGCGGCCUGGUCAGUUUGAAGUGAAAGUCCGGGGCUCAACCCCGGAUCUGCUUUGAAUACUACCAGGCUUGAGUACGUGAGAGGUAAGCGGAAUUCAAGGUGUAGCGGUGAAAUGCGUAGAUAUCUUGAGGAACAUCGAUGGCGAAAGCAGCUUACUGGCACGAAACUGACGCUGAGGCUCGAAAGCGUGGGGAGCGAACGGG
rnacentral:rRNA from 1 species